AAGUGACAGUGAUGGAGCCGGGCAGCUGGAUGGCCCUGUUCUGGUCACCCUCCAUUCGACUUUGGCGGUUUGGGAGGGGGUGGGGCACGAGAAACAGAAGUGGCUGUGUGACGUGUUCCUCUCCUGUGGCCAUCUUGGCAGGCAACCAAGCAGUUGAGAACAGGCAGAUAUGACUUAAGGGUUUUCUGAACAAAAGAGGGCAGCAAUUGAAAAAGAGGGUUAAAGUCUCAUCUUGUUGGGCUUGGUUCCCUAGUGUUGGGUGGGGAAGUGACCCUUCAUGCUUGUGGGGGAGAGGGCCGGGGAGAAGCGGCCCUGCCUGCAGAGCACCGGAGUCAGGAAGGACCUUGAUGAGCACCCAGAGCAAGAAUGUGGGAAGGGAAGGGCUUGGAGAAGGAAACAGCCCUGCUGAGGCUCUCAGGGCUGGCUGAGAGGUUGUGUGGGCACCAGGACCCCAGCCUCCAGGAAUGGCAUCUGAGGGUGCAUCCUCUGAGCAUGGUGUGUCUGUCUGCUUACUUUCUCUCCAGUGCCACAGGCAGGGCUCUGACAGUGAUCUCACCCUUGCAGGGAGGAGGCAAAAAAGGGAGCAGAGGGACACCCUUAAGAACUGAAAGACUGAGAAUACCUUGGAAAAUAUAGCAUUGUUUCACCUGAACUAAAGAGAAAAAUUAAAGAAAUAGGUGGCACACAGGCUGAGAUGGGGGAAUCAGAAGAAGCAUGAGCAGAACAGCCCCAAGAGCCAGAGGGGAUCCCUGCAGGGGACCGAGCUGAAGAUGAAGGGCAGCAGGCCCGGAUGGUGCAAUCUUCCUCCCUGGAGGGCUCCUGUGCCAGAAAUUGCUUAAGCGUAAUUCCCUGAUGAGAUGAUGAAUGGAUCGGGGCCAACUUACCUUACUAGAAUACUCCAACUCUGAGGAUUAGUGGGCAAGGGUUCUGUUUUCUGCCUGCAACCAGACCCCCGUGGGAGGGCAGAAGACGGGCUUGAGGCUAAAGUGGCUGACAAAACGAGCAAGGUGGCAGAGGGCUGUCUGGCAGCCCCGGUGAACAGGCAGCAGCGAGCUCUUUCCCAGCUCAACCCAGGUCUUCUUGUCUGCGUGAGCAAGUAGCAAUCUGACCUUUUGCUAAGAAUUUUAACAGGAGAGUUCAUCUGGAGCAUCUCUUUUCACACAUUCAAAACAAGGGGGUAAUUGUACAGACCUUGGAGAAACAUGACUUUCCCUGAGGCUCAAGGUCUGUUUCCUCCUCAGAUGCCAAGAGGGACGUGAACAAAAGACUAGAUCCCUAAAGCCUGUGGGUUUUCAAAGGCCAGGUUUGAGAGCCUCAGUUUGAUUUUCUUCCUUCACAGAGUCUUGGGGAGAAGGCAUUUUGAAAAGUCCUUUGAGAGCCACUGGCUUCUGAGCUAUGUAUCUCAGUACUGUAUUUCUUUCAGAAUGCUGUCUAAUUCUUUCUGAAAAACCAGUAGAGAAGGAGACUACUUAAAGUCCAAAGAUCUCGACUCUUCUUGAUUAGAAAAUUCCUCCUAAUUCUACCCUGAUUUAAUUCUGGUGAGGUUUACGCCAUUUCCUUAUUCUAUGCUCAUGAGAAAUAAUUGUUCAUAUCCUCUCAUAAUUCUCUUUCACAUCCUUAAAGAUUUUCCUGCAGCAAUUCCCUAUGGGCUAUGUGGUUCGGACUGAUGCUACCUGUUGCAGCCUGGAGAGUAAAGAAAUAAGAUGGACACACUGAAAGAGUGGAGGUGUGUGUGUACAUGUGCUCACAUGCAUGUAUACGUGUGAGCACACAUGCCUGUGUGAGAGUGGUUACUCAAAGAAGACAAAUGCAUAAAGCAAUAUGGCUUUGAAACACAACCAGAGAUUUUAAGGGAUCCAAAAGGUACCAGCAUUUCUUAGAGACACAUUAACAGAUGCCCAGGAUGUACCCUUGGCCUUAUCAGAAACCUGCCUGGAGGAGGAGCACAAUGGGAAAGGAGUGUGGUGACCUUGGAGGCAUCUUGUGAAGAACAAGAGCAUCACCUCCUUAAAGGCCAUAAAAAUAAGGUCAGAAAAAAAUAAAAGGACAUGGAAAUGGGCAACACUUCUCUGAAGAAAGACUCCAUCAGCCCCUCCCCUGGGGUGGUCAUCUCCUCAUGCUGAUGGCUUUAGACCUGGCUCACGGUCCCCCUCUCCACACUGCUCAGUCAUGAGUCCCAGUGACUUCAAUGCCCAUCCUUCUAAUCUCUGCAGGGCCUCUCACACCCAUGCCUCCCGCUCCUCCUGUGCCUUUGUCCUCUGCUGCUUCAGCCCCUGCUUCCUUAGGUCUUCUCUAGACCAGGAACUGCAACCCCUCUUGAAUCUGAAUCUCAAACAUCCCACCCUCUCAUCACCUUGAUGCCAGAGAUGGCUGCAUGUCCACACAAAUUUGUAAUCUCUCUUCCAUAGUAUGGUUAUCUCUGUGAAGGGCCUGCCCACCCUCUGCAUGCCCAUGAGACUAGUUCUUGCCAAUGAAGUAUGAGUGGAAAUGAUGAGAACCACUUCUGAGCCCAGGCUGUAAAGAAAUGAGUUCUCUAGUUCCCCUUCUGUCAGCCACAUGCAGGUGAUCAUGGGGCUCUAAGGCAUGGCAGAGCCACAAGAUGGAAGAGGCCUGGGUUUCUGAAUUAGUGUAUGGAGAACUAUCUGCUGAAGAGGCACUCCUGUUUUUAGUUGUCUUGCUAGU